AGGACAAACGCUGGCGGCGUACUUAAGACAUGCAAGUCGAACGGGCGCUUCACCUUCGGGUGGGUGUGCUAGUGGCGGACGGGUGAGUAACGCGUAGGAACCUGUCAUCAAGAGGGGGAUAACGCUGGGAAACCGGCGCUAAUACCGCAUGUGGUCAUGAAAAUGAAGAAAGCAGCAAUGCGCUUGAUGAGGGGCCUGCGUCCGAUUAGCUUGUUGGUGGGGUAAAGGCCUACCAAGGCAUCGAUCGGUAGCUGGUCUGAGAGGAUGGUCAGCCACACUGGGACUGAGACACGGCCCAGACUCCUACGGGAGGCAGCAGUUAGGAAAUUUUCCCAAUGGGCGCAAGCCUGAGGGAGUAACGCCGCGUGGAGGAUGACGGCUUUCGGGUUGUAAACUCCUUUCUGUGGAAGAGUAGAAGACGGUACCGCAGGAAUAAGCCUCGGCUAACUACGUGCCAGCAGCCGC
rnacentral:rRNA from 1 species